rnacentral:rRNA from 1 species
ACCUUUCAGCAACGGAUCUCUUGGCUCUCGCAUCGAUGAAGAACGCAGCGAAAUGCGAUAAGUAAUGUGAAUUGCAGAAUUCAGUGAAUCAUCGAAUCUUUGAACGCACCUUGCGCUCCUUGGUAUUCCGAGGAGCAUGCCUGUUUGAGUGUCA